UAGUUUUGGAAGUCCUAGCACAGCAAUCAGAGAAGAUAAAGAUAUAAAAGUAAUCCAAACUGGAAAAGAAGUAAAGUAAUCACUAUUUGCAAGUGACAUGAUACUGUACGUAGAAAAUCCUAAAGAUGCCACCAGAAAUGGCAGUGCUAAUCAGUGAAUUUGGUAAGGUUCCAAGAUACAAAAUUAAUGAACUGAAAUCUCUUGCAUUCCUACACCAUGUACUCUCAUCAGGUCAUACACUCUUGACCUGAUGGAAAAACUGAAGCUGGGACAAACUAAGCAGCUUGUCCGAGGUUCCACAGUUAUCUGGUAUGAAAACUGACACUAGAACUUAGGACUUCUGAUUUUUGAUCCUGAAUUAAUGCUCCUUUACCAUGCUGUGAGAGGUGACAGGAGUCAUAAGUUGUAGAGGUAAUGGGAUUACUUGCAGGGUUUUUCUGAAAGUUCUUGUUCACAUCCCGAAGAAGGAGAGGUAAAGCAUCAGAAAAACAGUGGGAUGAGUAACUCUGACCUUCUAGGGAGAUGAUAUGAUUCUCAUUUCUAGAAAGUUCUACACAGUAAAGAGUUAAUAGAAGGUUUGGCUUCCCUGGUGGCUCAGACGGUAAAGCAUCUGUCUACAAUGUGGGAGACCUGGGUUCUAUCCCUGGGUCAGGAAGUUACCUGGAGAAGGAAAUGGCAACCCACUCCAGUACUCUUGCCUAGAAAAUCCCAUGGAUGGAGGAGCCUGGUGUCCAUGGGAUCGCAAAGAGUCAGACACGACUGAGCGACUUCACUUCACUUUGUUGCCUAUGCUUAUACAUAUGGGAAGCCAUUGGAGGCUUUUGAGAAGAGGAGUGAUGUGAUCUGACUUUGUUUGAAGAGCGUCACUGUGGCUACCAUGGCGAAGAGAGAGCUCAGGGAGCAGAGACACACUCAGGGAGCCCCACGGACACAUACACUCUUGUUACGAAGCUAUGCUAAUAAUAUGGGUGAAAAACGAUGGUGCCGUGGACCAGGGUGUGAAGAGAGAUGGUGAAAGUACUCGGAUGUUGGACAUACUAUGAAGACAGAGGUGACAGAAUUUACUGACAGAUUGGAUGCGACAUGAGAGAAAUAGAGGAAUAAAAAAGUGACUCUAAGAAAUGCAAAUUAAAGCCACAAUAUGGGGCUUCCCUGGGGGCCCAGUGGUUACGAAUCCACCUGCCAAUGCAGGGGAUACCAGUUCAGUCCCUGGUCCGGCAAGAUCUCACAGGCAGCGGGGAAACUAACCCCGGGCACCACGACUACGGAAGCCCUCACGCCCUAGAGCCCGUGUUCCACAACAAGAGAUGCCACUGCGGCGAGAAGCCUGCGCACCGCAACUAGAGAAAGCCCGCGCAGCAACGAAGACCCAGCGUGGCCAAAAGUUAAUUAAUUUAUUUAAUUUUUAUAAAAGACAUCACAGAGGAGAAAACCAUUUGGGGAACCGUGGGACAAUAUGUAAGAAAAUUGAAUUCACAGACGAAGAAAAUACCAGAUCCAGAUGGUUUCACUGGCAAAUUCUACCAAACACUUGAGGAAGUGUUUAGUAGACAAAGUGGUAGAGUUCUACACAAACCCUCCCAGAAAAGAGAAAAGGGAGCGACACUGUGCGACUCAUUUUAUGAGGCCGACAUUAUCAUGACACCAAAAUGAAAAAAAAAACAAACAAACAAAAAAAGACAUUACAGGGAAACUACAGACCAACAUUCCACAUGAACAUAGACCAAAAGCUCUCAACAGACUACUAGCAAAUCAUAUCCAGAAACAUGUAAAAAGGAUCAUAAUUCACUAUGAAUCAGAGUUUACUCAAGGUAAUUCAAUGCUGA
ensembl:lncRNA